AGGAUGAACGCUGGCGGCGUGCCUAACACAUGCAAGUCGAACGUCCUGUCUCGCAAGAGGCAGGGAGUGGCGGACGGGUGAGUACCACGUGGGUCAUCUACCGUGAGGUGAGGAAUACCGGCGAGAAAUCGCCGACAAGACCGCAUAGGCUCGAUGCAAGUCGAGCAAAGCUCUUUCGAGAGAGGGAGCGCCACACGAGGAGCCUGCGCCCGAUUAGCUAGUUGGUGGAGUAAUGGUCUACCAAGGCGACGAUCGGUAGCUGGUCUGAGAGGAUGAUCAGCCACACUGGGAUUGAGAACGGCCCAGACUCCGUACGGGGGCAGCAGUGAGGAAUUUUCGUCAAGUGGGGAAACCCUGAACGAGCAACGCCGCGUGCGAGGAAGACACUUUUCGGAGCGUAAACUGUCUUUCGUCGGGACGAGUAAGGACGGUACCGAGGAUCGACGCCCGGCUAACGUACGCGCCAGCAGCCGCGU
rnacentral:rRNA from 1 species